rnacentral:rRNA from 1 species
UUUUAUUUGAGAGUUUGAUCCUGGCUCAGGAUGAACGCUGGCGGCGUGCCUAACACAUGCAAGUUGAGCGAUUUACUUCGGUAAAGAGCGGCGGACGGGUGAGUAACGCGUGGGUAACCUACCCUGUACACACGGAUAACAUACCGAAAGGUAUGCUAAUACGGGAUAAUAUAUUUGAGAGGCAUCUCUUGAAUAUCAAAGGUGAGCCAGUACAGGAUGGACCCGCGUCUGAUUAGCUAGUUGGUAAGGUAACGGCUUACCAAGGCGACGAUCAGUAGCCGACCUGAGAGGGUGAUCGGCCACAUUGGAACUGAGACACGGUCCAAACUCCUACGGGAGGCAGCAGUGGGGAAUAUUGCACAAUGGGCGAAAGCCUGAUGCAGCAACGCCGCGUGAGUGAUGAAGGCCUUCGGGUCGUAAAACUCUGUCCUCAAGGAAGAUAAUGACGGUACUUGAGGAGG